rnacentral:rRNA from 1 species
UACGGAGGGUGCGAGCGUUGUUCGGAAUUACUGGGCGUAAAGCGCGUGUAGGCGGCCUUCUAAGUCUGGUGUGAAAGCCCGGGGCUCAACCCCGGAAGUGCAUUGGAUACUGGGAGGCUGGAGUACCGGAGAGGAGGGUGGAAUUCCUGGUGUAGCGGUGAAAUGCGCAGAUAUCAGGAAGAACACCCGUGGCGAAGGCGGCUCUCUGGGACGGUACUGACGCUGAGACGCGAAAGCGUGGGGAGCGAACAGG